rnacentral:siRNA from 1 species
UACCGGUAUUAUAUUCUGAGUGUA